rnacentral:rRNA from 1 species
UACGUAGGUGACCAGCGUUGUCCGGAUUUACUGGGCGUAAAGAGCGCGCAGGCGGUCGUUCAAGUCGAGUGUGAAAGCCCCCGGCUCAACUGGGGAGGGUCACUCGAUACUGAUCGACUUGAAGGCAGGAGAGGGUAGUGGAAUUCCCGGUGUAGUGGUGAAAUGCGUAGAUAUCGGGAGGAACACCAGUGGCGAAGGCGACUACCUGGCCUGUUCUUGACGCUGAGGCGCGAAAGCUAGGGGAGCAAACGGG